AAAAAGACAAACCCUGAGUUUCCGUGUUCAACGUUUGACUAUCCGUCUUAUAUAAAUUUUUUUAUAAUUAGUAUUUUAAUUGUUGUUAGAUGAUAAAACAUGAUUAAUACUUUAUGUGUGACUUGUCUUUUUAAUUUUUUUUAAUAUUUUUUUUAAAUAAGACGGACGGUCAAAUGUUGGACACGAAAACCCAGGGUUUAUCUUUUU
rfam:Oryza sativa Japonica Group DNA, chromosome 4, cultivar: Nipponbare, complete sequence.